rnacentral:tRNA from 1 species
GGAGAGGUGUCCGAGCGGCUUAAGGAGCACGCCUGGAAAGUGUGUGUAGGUUAACCCCUACCGCGGGUUCGAAUCCCGCCCUCUCCG